rnacentral:rRNA from 1 species
UACGUGGGGUGCGAGCGUUGUCCGGAAUUAUUGGGCGUAAAGAGCUCGUCGGCGGCUUGUCGCGUCGGAUGUGAAAGCCCGGGGCUUAACUCCGGGUCUGCAUUCGAUACGGGCAGACUAGAGUUCGGUAGGGGAGAUCGGAAUUCCUGGUGUAGCGGUGAAAUGCGCAGAUAUCAGGAGGAACACCGGUGGCGAAGGCGGAUCUCUGGGCCGAUACUGACGCUGAGGAGCGAAAGCGUGGGGAGCGAACAGG